rnacentral:rRNA from 1 species
UGAGCAACCUGCCCUUCACAUUGGGAUAACCCCGGGGAAACCGGGGCUAAUACCGAAUACGACCACCGACGACAUCGUCUGGUGGUGGAAAGCUCCGGCGGUGAGGGAUGGGCUCGCGGCCUAUCAGCUAGUUGGUGGGGUGAUGGCCCACCAAGGCGACGACGGGUAGCCGGCCUGAGAGGGUGACCGGCCACACUGGGACUGAGACACGGCCCAGACUCCGUACGGGAGGCAG